rnacentral:rRNA from 1 species
UACGUAGGGUGCAAGCGUUGUCCGGAAUUAUUGGGCGUAAAGAGCUCGUAGGCGGUUUGUCGCGUCUGCUGUGAAAACUCGGGGCUUAACCCCGGGCCUGCAGUGGGUACGGGCAGACUAGAGUGCGGUAGGGGAGACUGGAAUUCCUGGUGUAGCGGUGAAAUGCGCAGAUAUCAGGAGGAACACCGGUGGCGAAGGCGGGUCUCUGGGCCGACACUGACACUGAGAGACGAAAGCUAGGGGAGCGAAUGGG